AUGCAAGUCGAACGGUAACAUUUCUAGCUUGCUAGAAGAUGACGAGUGGCGGACGGGUGAGUAAUGCUUGGGAACUUGCCUUUGCGAGGGGGAUAACAGUUGGAAACGACUGCUAAUACCGCAUAAUGUCUACGGACCAAACGGGGCUUAGGCUCCGGCGCAAAGAGAGGCCCAAGUGAGAUUAGCUAGUUGGUAAGGUAAAGGCUUACCAAGGCAACGAUCUCUAGCUGUUCUGAGAGGAAGAUCAGCCACACUGGGACUGAGACACGGCCCAGACUCCUACGGGAGGCAGCAGUGGGGAAUAUUGCACAAUGGGGGAAACCCUGAUGCAGCCAUGCCGCGUGUGUGAAGAAGGCCUUCGGGUUGUAAAGCACUUUCAGUUGUGAGGAAAAGUUAGUAGUUAAUACCUGCUAGCCAUGACGUUNACAACAGAAGAAGUACCGGCUAACUCCGUGCCAGCAGCCGCGGUAAUACGGAGGGUGCGAGCGUUAAUCGGAAUUACUGGGCGCAAAGCGCACGC
rnacentral:rRNA from 1 species